rnacentral:hammerhead_ribozyme from 1 species
AUUCGUGUGACGAGUCCCGAAUGGGACGAAACACGCGUCCUGGAU